CUUCUCACUACUGCACUUGACUAGUCUUU
rnacentral:piRNA from 5 species